rnacentral:lncRNA from 1 species
ACUUUAUGUGUUGUGAAUGAGGAGUUUAAUGGUAGGGCAUUAAGGUGUGCAUUAGACCUAGUAGCCUAGGUGACCUAUAGGUGUUUGGUGGUGCAUGGGAAGGGCAGCCACCAAGGCAAGCCUAAGCCAAAGGGCCAAGGCUGCCCAAGCUUGGCAGCCACUGCCUAAGAGUUCACGACCACCUUCACGACCAGUGGUGUGGACCACGGUCCGUGAAGGGGUCCUUGAAGAUGACUUAGACACUUGGGAGGCCAGGCCAAGAGGCCAAGACACUGCCACAAGUUCACGAGGCACUUCACGAGCCGUUUACUUGACCACGGCCCGUCAAAGUGCCCGUGAAGGUGCCUUAGCAAAUUAGGGUGGUUGAGGGCCAAAAAG